UCUUAUCCCAGAUGGCUCCAGGUACAGUGGGCUUCCUGGGCUGGAAGCUGGCCUCAUCUUUCAGUCAACUGGGAAGGCUUAUCAGAGGGAAUCCAGCCCAACCAGAUGAAGUACAUUCUUCUUUUUGGUCUGAAAAGAAAAAUUGUCAAGCGUAAAGAAAAAUACUUCUUUUUUUUGAGAUGGAAUCUCACUCUGUCACCCAGGCUGGAGUGCAGUGGCAUGAUCUCGGCUCACUGCAACCUCUGCCUCCUAGGUUCAAGCAAUUCUCGUACCUCAGCCUCUGAGUAGCUGGGAUUACAGGCGCAUGCCAUCACACCUGGCUAAAUUUUGUAUUUUUAGAAGACACGGGGUUUCGCCAUGUUGGCCAGGCUGGUCUCGAACUCCUGACCUCAAGUGAUCCACCUGCCUCGGCCUCCCAGAGUGUUGGAAUUACAGGCGUGAGCCACCACGUCCAGCCAAAAAAUACACUUCGGAUGGAGACUUUAGGAGGAGGCAGAGGACAAACUUCCAGCCAUCUUGGAAGGAGCUCACUUCCAUCAGGCAAGGUGAGGAGCUAGGGAAGGGGUCAUCACAAAGGGAUCCACCAUGACAGUGGCUUGAGUCUAGGCACCUCUUCCACCUCUUCCAGGUGCUCCAUCCAAGGCAAUGGGGGGUGAGGGAAAUGCCUAAGGCGUAAACUCAGAUCCCAAGAACGGGAGAGAUUAGGCAGAGAGCCCAGGGGACUUGCUUCAGGAAGGCAGGGUGCAGGAUGCACUUGGGCUAAGGACCAGCCUGGAAGACUUUGGUCGCUUCCACAGCUCCCAUGGCCUCUUCCCCAAUCCUGUCUUCAACCUGCAAGAUGUUUAUCAUCCCUCAGACUUUACCCCUACACUGGAGAACAUGCCAAGAAUUCCACCUGCCUAUCUGGUCCUCUCUUCUCUCGGUCCCUCCAUUUGUGUUUCAGAAGUCAGCACAGGGGAGGAAGGGGACAUAUGCUUUGGGGUCUACGAAGACCCACUUGAAGCCCAGCCCAAUUUACCAGUCCUGUGACUCUGGGAAAGUGUCUUAGCCUUCCUGAGGCUUUGAUUCCUCCUUCAUAAAGUGGGGACAAUAUCACCCGGUUUUCAGGGCUGUUGGGAAGAUUAGCUGAGAUAAUGGCUAUGAAAGGGCUUACACAACCAAAUGGGCACAAAUCAGGGUCAGCUCCUUCCUUCCUGGGCUGGGGAAGCUAUGUCCAGGAAAGGCAAAUAAACCCAGUAGGGGCUGCACAGGAAUCAGGUGUCAGGCACAGCUGUGGGCACAGCCUUCCUUUCCUGUCCCAUCCAGGGUUGGGAGCCAGCCGCUUUGGAAACCCCCAAAGUUCACCUCCCUUGACUUCUCCAAGAGCCUUAAGAUCUGAGAAGAGUUUCAGAAAGAGGAGGGGAUCUCGGCCACGGCCCUGCAUGGCCCAGCUCCACUCAGACGAGUGUGGCCUUUCUUCUUCCUAGACUCUUCGCAGCCUCUCCCAGCUCACAUCCCUCCUCCCUUCCCCAGCUCCUCCUCCCCCUACCUUUGCCAGCUCUCCAACCUGGAUCUUGACAGUAUGGAGGAGUGGGGAUGAGAAGUCUGCCUUGCCCAUCAUAUCAGGAGCCCCUCAAAUGUAACGACCCUGUCUUCUCCAAACCUGAUCUCUGCCAGGCCUGUUUCCCUGACCCCCUCUGGCCCUCUUCCUGACCCGGGCUGGCUGCCAGGACUCAAGGUGGGCUGUCUGUUCCUCAGUGCCCCUCUAAGUCUGCCAGUGUGUCUCCUUCCAUGCUCUCUUGCCCAUUCCUUGCUCUAGAUCCUCAGCCCAACUGGGAGUCCUGCUAUCCCUUGAGUGGCUAGAUUUGGGGGAACGACAGAAGAGACUGGUGUCUGUCAGGGCCUGGGAAGGGGUGGUGGAUGCAGCUCCAUGCGGUGCCCUCCCCUGGGUGGGGGAGGAGGAGUGCAGAUGGAACAGCCUCCCGCUUGUUACACCCUCCCAGCCCCAGACAGAGCCAGGCUCUCCUAGCAACGGUACAGUAGCAGAGGGCUGGGAAGUAAGUGCGGCGGGGGAGCAAUGAUAUCAUAAAUUAUCCCUGGCCCCUCCCUCCCAGCCCACCCUUCCUCAGUUGAGAAUGGCCUCCUUUUUCUCUCCACCUGCUCCUCAUUCAGGAUUUCCUCAGCAAAUCUGGCCUCUGCUUAGUGCCCCUUAUAGAUGCCCCUCGAGGUCAAAGUGACCAUUCUCUGCCUUCCAGUUGGGCUCCAGAAGGAGGGGACCCUCAUUAUCCCAGGAUGUCUCUGAGACCCUGUUGGAACGUUCCCCCCAGGGCAGGAGCUGGGAGACUGGCUUCCAAAGGGGGAGCCCAGAGGGCCUGAGAGACUAUUGCUAUUCCAUGGUCUCCGGCUCCUCUUUCUGGGGUGCUGAUGGGGCACAGAAGGGGAAUUUCAAAGCAUUCUGUGGCAUUUACUCCUCUUCUGUAAACAAAAGGUUUGGGUGGGGGCUCCCAAGUCUUUAAGGGGCACUCAGACCUCUCACCAAGCUAGACAAGUCUCAGUUUUCCUAUUCUAAUAGCUGGAGUCCAGGAACCUUUAUGAAGUAACUAAAGCUAGGUGGCAUUCCUUCCUUACCUCCCAACUUAGCCAUGCCAAGCCAAGAGCCAAAGAGCUGGUGCUAUAGCCAUAUAGAUCUUGGUUAGACAUGGAGAAGGACUUCCCAAGACAGGAAUAAGCAAGAUCAUGGAAUUUCCUGGUUGGAGAGAGGAAAAGUCUGUCGUAGUAGCAGGAAACUGGAUGGGAACCUCUUGAAUUCUAUCUCAUUAAUUCUUUCUUAGCCACAUUAAAUAACAUGUAGAGAGUGUCUGGCACAGAGCCUGACACAUAGUAAUCCUCCACUUAGGCUAUUAAAAAAUCAUAUGUUAUUAUGAAUUUUUAUUGGAUAGAUAUCAGGGGAAAGGGAUAAAUCCCUGGAGACCCAUCUCCCACCCUCUAGGAACCCCGCGGGAAAAUCCAGAUAGGAGCUAGUGCUCUGAGGUACAAUAUGGCAGCCAAUUGCCAUGGCAACAGCAGAAGGAGGAGUCUGGUUGGUUGUGGGGGCGGUGCUGGGAAGCCAGCUGGUGCCAGAUGGACAAACCCAGCAGAAGGCAUCCCCAGCCGGGUGAAGCUGAUGCCCCGUGCCCAGGGCUCAACCUCCAUAUGCCAGCCGCAGCCUGGUCCUUCCUUCCAGGCCUAAAGGCCCCAUUGCUGUCUGUGGGGGAUGAUGCCAAAACCAUUCCUCCUCCUGACUCUUGCUUGUAUAACAGGGAAUGACUGCUUGGAGACAA
rnacentral:lncRNA from 1 species